rnacentral:rRNA from 1 species
GAUCAUGGCUCAGGAUGAACGCUGGCGGCGUGCUUAACACAUGCAAGUCGAACGGGAAACCUUUUAUUGAAGCUUCGGCAGAUUUAGCUGGUUUCUAGUGGCGGACGGGUGAGUAACGCGUGGGUAACCUGCCCUAUACAGGGGGAUAACAACCAGAAAUGGUUGCUAAUACCGCAUAAGCGCACAGGACCGCAUGGUCCGGUGUGAAAAACUCCGGUGGUAUAGGAUGGACCCGCGUUGGAUUAGCCAGUUGG